rnacentral:rRNA from 1 species
UCCGUAGGCGGGUAAUUAAGUCAGAGGUGGAAUCCCACAGCUUAACUGUGGAACUGCCUUAGAUACUGGUUAUCUUGAGUUUUAGUGAAGUAGAUAGAAUGUGUAGUGUAGCGGUGAAAUGCAUAGGUAUUACACAGAAUACCGAUUGCGAAGGCAGUCUACUAACUAACAACUGACGCUAAUGGACGAAAGCGUGGGGAGCGAACAGGAUUAGAUACCCUGGUAGUCC